rnacentral:rRNA from 1 species
UACAGAGGUCCCAAGCGUUGUUCGGAUUCAUUGGGCGUAAAGGGUGCGUAGGCGGCGCGGUAAGUCAGGUGUGAAAUCUCGGGGCUUAACUCCGAAACUGCAUUCGAUACUGCCGUGCUUGAGGACUGGAGAGGAGACUGGAAUUUACGGUGUAGCGGUGAAAUGCGUAGAUAUCGUAAGGAAGACCAGUGGCGAAGGCGGGUCUCUGGACAGUUCCUGACGCUGAGGCACGAAGGUCAGGGGAGCAAACGGG